rnacentral:rRNA from 1 species
AUUGAACGCUGGCGGCAGGCCUAACACAUGCAAGUCGAGCGAGGGGCGGACGGGUGAGUAAUGUAUGGGGACUGCCCGAUAGAGGGGGAUAACUACUGGAAACGGUGGCUAAUAAAGCAUACUGGCGGAUAACCCAUAUGGGAUGAGCGAGUAGGUAGGGUAAUGGCUUACCUGGGCGACGAUCCCUAGCUGGUCUGAGAGGAUGAUCAGCCACACUGGGACUGAGACACGGCCCAGACUCCUACGGAGGCAGCAGUGGGGAAUAUUGCACAAUGGGCGCAAGCCUGAUGCAGCCAUGCCGCGUGUAUGAAGAAGGCCGUAGGGUUGUAAAGUACUUUCAGUCGGGAGGCGUUACCGACAGAAGAAGCACCGGCUAACUCCGUGCCAGCAGCCGCGGUAAUAC